rnacentral:rRNA from 1 species
CUGAACCAGCCAAGUAGCGUGAAGGAUGACUGCCCUAUGGGUUGUAAACUUCUUUUAUAAAGGAAUAAAGUCGGGUAUGCAUACCCGUUUGCAUGUACUUUAUGAAUAAGGAUCGGCUAACUCCGUGCCAGCAGCCGCGGUAAUACGGUGGAUCCGAGCGUUAUCCGGAUUUAUUGGGUUUAAAGGGAGCGUAGAUGGAUGUUUAAGUCAGUUGUGAAAGUUUGCGG